rnacentral:rRNA from 1 species
CCUACGGGAGGCAGCAGUGAGGAAUAUUGGUCAAUGGACGAGAGUCUGAACCAGCCAAGUAGCGUGAAGGAUGACUGCCCUAUGGGUUGUAAACUUCUUUUAUAUGGGAAUAAAAUGUUCCACGUGUGGGAUUUUGUAUGUACCAUAUGAAUAAGGCUCGGCUAACUCCGUGCCAGCAGCCGCGGUAAUACGGAGGAUCCGAGCGUUAUCCGGAUUUAUUGGGUUUAAAGGGAGCGUAGGUGGAUUGUUAAGUCAGUUGUGAAAGUUUGCGGCUAAACCGUAAAAUUGCAGUUGAAACUGGCAGUCUUGAGUACAGUAGAGGUGGGCGGAAUUCGUGGUGUAGCGGUGAAAUGCGUAGAUAUCACGAAGAACUCCGAUUGCGAAGGCAGUUCACUGGACUGAAACUGACACUGGGGCUCGAAAGUGUGGGUAUCAAACAGGAUUAGAACCCCAGUAGUC